rnacentral:tRNA from 1 species
CGGGGUUUAGCGCAGUUGGUAGCGCGCCUGGUUUGGGACCAGGAGGCCACAGGUUCGAAUCCUGUAACCCCGACCA